UGAGGAAUAUUGGUCAAUGGACGCAAGUCUGAACCAGCCAUGCCGCGUGAAGGAUGAAGGCCUUCUGGGUUGUAAACUUCUUUUAUUGGGGAAGAAAACUAUGGUUUCUACUAUAGCCGACGGUACCCAAGGAAUAAGCACCGGCUAACUCCGUGCCAGCAGCCGCGGUAAUACGGAGGGUGCAAGCGUUAUCCGGAUUCACUGGGUUUAAAGGGUGUGUAGGCGGGCUGUUAAGUCAGUGGUGAAAUCUCCGGGCUCAACCCGGAAACUGCCAUUGAUACUAUCAGUCUUGAAUAUCGAUGAGGUGGGCAGAAUAUGUCAUGUAGCGGUGAAAUGUAUAGAUAUGACAUAGAAUACCAAUUGCGAAGGCAGCUCACUAACCGAUUAUUGACGCUGAGGCACGAAAGCGUGGGGAUCAAACAG
rnacentral:rRNA from 1 species